rnacentral:rRNA from 1 species
UACGAAGGGGGCUAGCGUUGCUCGAAGAUCACUGGGCGUAAAGGGUGCGUAGGCGGGUCUUUAAGUCAGGGGUGAAAUCCUGGAGCUCAACUCCAGAACUGCCUUUGAUACUGGAGAGCUAGAGUCCGAAAAGAGGAUCGCGGAAUUCCCGGUGUAGAGGUGAAAUUCGUAGAUAUCGGGAGGAACACCGGGUGGCGAAGGCGGCGAUCUGGGUUCGAUACUGACGCUGAGGUGCGAAAGCGUGGGGGAGCAAACAGG